AGCUAAAGUGUGAAAUCCUGGCCUCAUUGAAGUCAGUGGCAAAAUUCCUAUUUGCUUCAAGGGAGUGAGGAUUUCAUCCAAGGUGCAGUGUUUGGAGAUGGAAAAUCUGUGCCUGCGAUGUUAAUUCAUUAGGGACUUAAUCCUGUGAGAUGCUGAACUACAUGUAAGACAUGCUGAGCACUCUCCAGUUCCACUGAUUCCAAGGGGAACUGAAAGCUCGGAACCCGUUGAUGAAUCAGGAUCUGUAGAGGUGGCCCUAACUUACACUAGUAUAAGUGAGAGAAGAAUCAGACCGUCUGUCUCUGCAAAGGGCUGGGCACUGUUGCAAGAUACUGCGUACCCUCAACUGCUUUGAAGACAAGCUCAUCACCUUGCAGAAUCAGGCCAAGAGCCAAAAAUAUAAAGGCAGGGGGCAGAAUACUUCCUAACUGAAUGGCAAGUACUUGAA